rnacentral:rRNA from 1 species
AGGGUUCGAUUCUGGCUCAGAACGAACGCUGGUGGCGUGUCUUAUACAUGCAAGUCGAGCGAGGCAGCAAUGCCGAGCGGCGAACGGGUGAGUAACGCGUAAGCAAUCUGCCCCAUAUCAGGAAAUACCCGUGCCAACGCGCGGUUAAUGUCCAGGAGAGUGGCCUUCCGCAUGGAGGGUUGACUAGAGAUUUAUCGGUAUGGGAUGAGCUUGCGUCCGAUUAGCUAGUUGGCGGGGCAACGGCCCACCAAGGCGACGAUCGGUAGCCGGCCUGAGAGGGUGAUCGGCCACAUUGGGACUGAGAUACGGCCCAGCCUCCUACGGGAGGCAGCAGUAGGGAAUAUUGCACAAUGGGGGAAACCCUGAUGCAGCAACGCCACGUGUGGGAAGAAGCAUUUCGGUGUGUAAACCACUGUCAUGAGGGAAUAAGGCCCGCCUCCGGACGGGAUUGAAUGUACCUUGAGAGGAAGCACCGGCAAACUUCGUGCCAGCAGCCGC